rnacentral:rRNA from 1 species
UACGUAGGGUCCGAGCGUUGUCCGGAAUUAUUGGGCGUAAAGGGCUCGUAGGCGGUUUGUCGCGUCGGGAGUGAAAACACCGGGCUUAACUCGGUGCUUGCUUUCGAUACGGGCAGACUGGAGGUAUGCAGGGGAGAACGGAAUUCCUGGUGUAGCGGUGAAAUGCGCAGAUAUCAGGAGGAACACCGGUGGCGAAGGCGGGUCUCUGGGCCGAUACUGACGCUGAGGAGCGAAAGCGUGGGGAGCGAACAGG